UACGUAGGGAGCAAGCGUUGUUCGGAUUUACUGGGCGUAAAGGGCGCGUAGGCGGCGUGUCAAGUCGAUUGUGAAAUCUCCGGGCUUAACUCGGAACGGCCAAUCGAUACUGACGUGCUAGAGUGCAGAAAGGGCAAUCGGAAUUCUUGGUGUAGCGGUGAAAUGCGUAGAUAUCAAGAGGAACACCUGAGGCGAAGGCGGGUUGCUAGGCUGACACUGACGCUGAGGCGCGAAAGCCAGGGGAGCAAACGGG
rnacentral:rRNA from 1 species